rnacentral:rRNA from 1 species
GACGAACGCUGGCGGCGUGCUUAACACAUGCAAGUCGAACGAAGUGGCGAACGGGUGAGUAACGCGUAAUCAACCUGCCCUUCAGAGGGGGACAACAGUUGGAAACGACUGCUAAUACCGCAUACUGAAGGAGGGGAUUGCGUCUGAUUAGCUAGUUGGAGGGGGAACGGACCACCAAGGGGAUGAUCAGUAGCCGGUCUGUGAGGAUGAACGGCUAAACUGAGACGUAUACACGUCCCAGACGACUACGGGGGGCAGCAGGGGGGAAGUUUCGGCAAUGGACGAAAGUCUGACCGAGCAACGCCGCGUGAGUGAAGAAGGUUGUCGGGUCGUAAAGCUCUGUUGUUAAGGAAGCGGUACUUAACCAGAAAGGGACGGCUAACUACGUGCCAGCAGCCGCGGUAAUAC